CACGUAGGGUGCGAGCGUUGUCCGGAAUUAUUGGGCGUAAAGAGCUCGUAGGCGGUGUGUCGCGUCGGCCGUGAAAACUGUGGCUUAACUAUGGGCUUGCGGUCGAUACGGGCAUCACUGGAGUUCGGCAGGGGAGACUGGAAUUCCUGGUGUAGCGGUGAAAUGCGCAGACUAUCAGGAGGAACACCGGUGGGCGAAGGCGG
rnacentral:rRNA from 1 species